rnacentral:rRNA from 1 species
CAUUCCUACGGGGCGCAGCAGUGGGGAAUAUUGCACAAUGGGGGGAACCCUGAUGCAGCGACGCCGCGUGGGCGAGGAAGUAUUUCGGUAUGUAAAGCCCUAUCGGCAGGGAAGAAGAAAUGACGGUACCUUAAUAAGACGCACCGGCUAAAUACGUGCCGGCAGCCGCGGUAAUACGUAUGGUGCCAGCGUUAUCCGGAUUUACUGGGCGUGAAGGGAGCGCAGGCGGCGC